GGGACAAGAUGGUUAUCAUUAAAAAGGAGGAGAAAAGCUCAAGGUCCCUUCUCACCUGAGAAAUUAUCAACUUCACAAAGGAUUUUUGUCUCUCCAGCCUAACUUGUAUUGUGGAGUUUGCUGACACAGGAAGCUGUGGAAGCCAGAAGUAACAGUAGUUUCAAAAGAAUUAGACCAACUCAUGGACAAUGUGCUGACUUUUUCUUUUUGAUAGUUAAAACCUCAGUCAGAACUACUGAGCAAGACCUUUCACAGAUUUGCUCUGCCUCAGGAGCUGUGCCACAAGGAAAAGACUUUUCUCCUCUACCUACAAGGAGAGAGGCAGCAACAAAGAGGUGCUUUGCAUCUUCUUUCUUUGCCAGUCAGCCAGAGGAAAACAUCCGAAGUGGGAACCACCAUGAAGUACUUGAGACAGCUGUUUCAGGGAAACAGCUUGUCUGGACCUGAUAAUAGGAGCUCUGUUUAUAUUCUCUUUUUCGUUAUUGAAACCACCAGUUCACUGGGUGGCUUAGACAAACUGAGUAGGUUCAUCAAAAGACAGUGAGAUGGUUUUGGAGGUCUUGAACAGGUCUUGAACUCCAACCAACUUUACUGUACUGCUAAAUAGGAGUAAAGUCUCAACUAAAUAGAAAGCUUCUUUUAAAAAACAUGGAUAUAGCAAAGGAAACGUUGCUGUGAGCUGAGACUCACUGUCUUCCUUAUUAGGACCAGCAGAAGCUAUUAAAUGAGAUAUAUUAUCUAUAUCUCUCUAGGCCUAUAACAGUUAAGUCAGAGACAAAUGUUGUGCUGUGACCACAGUAUUCUGCACCAGUAGAAUAUUAUAACUAAUAUCCUACCUGUGACUUUAUUUACAGUGAAACAUUAUUCUGAAAAUGAAGUGAAAAGUGUGGAAGAAACAGUAGAGCUGACAAUUAGUAAAUAAAACUCUAGUAUUUUACGAUAUCUAUAUUCUGUAAUAUAUUUGUCCUUAUGCUUCAGCCACUUAGCUGUGACAAUAAAAAUUGCAUGAAGCUUCAUUACCAUAAUAGCGUAAAUUUGCCAGGUGCUUGACAACAAUUCCAAGGCUUGUGUCUGCAGACUGCAAGUCUUCAUGGAAGUCACCAGGUGUGAGAGAUUUUGA